GAAUUAAUAACGGCAUUAUCUACCCAUAAAAUCCAACAUGGCGAGCGAGGACACUGUUGCCACAUGUGUGACAUUAUUGCUGGCAAUUGAAACAAGAGAUACAAUUGCCAAAUUUAUUUAUGCAAGCUUGUUUGAAUGGCUUGUACAACAAGUUAACAAGUCACUUGCAGUGGGUGAAAACCAUACAGAGAAAUUCAUUAGUAUCCUUGCUUUUUAUGUGUUUCAGCCAUUCCAGAUCAAGCCACUUGUGAAAGUCACUGUUACUCUCUCUCACUUAUUUACUUCUGUGCCUGGUUGAAUAUUUUACAUUGAAGACCAUGCUCUGAACUAGUGUGGGGGAGGAUAUUUAUCUUGGUACUUCACUUCUGCUAGUUCUUGUUGAUUGAAUUUUCUGGCUUGUUUUAAUUAAGUUAUAAUAGAGAUUAUGUCUUUGAGGGACCCUUGAAAAUUUUAUUUGACAGACUUGUUCAAUGUUGAUAAUGGGGUUGUCUUUUGAAAGCUAAUAAUUAGCACAAUGUGCUAUGUUGACUAUCUUUUUGUAAACUAACUUCUAAAUGUGAGAUUUGGGCCUCUAUAAGGGGAUACAUUCUAGAACUUGUCUUGUGUUCCACUGAAAUUGAAAUGCAUAAAAUCGCAGGGUAAGGGGACAUAUAAGAAUGAUAAGGCUGGAUUGACACUUGCUGAUCUUGCUUACCGACGUGCAAAAGCAGUAAAGGCCACCAAGAGGGCACUAGACUCUGGCAAGAUUGUGAAGAAUCAUCAAAAGAAAUCUAAUAAAUCUAAUCCUUUGCCAAAACCUUCCUCUUCCAGGCUAGAGGAAAUGCGGGAGCUAUUCCAGACUGGCGUGAAGGAUAAAAAGCCGAAAUGGAGAGGUUCUUGAACAGGAAAGAAGGCGAAGAAGUCAUUGAAAAGCAAGUCAAGCUGUAACCAGUGCUGCCAUGCUGAUGGGUUGCAGUUCCCAGGAAUUAAUAACGGCAUUAUCUACCCAUAAAAUCCAACCUUGCGAGCGAGGACACUGUUGCCACAAGUUUGACAUUAUUGCAGGCAAUUGAAACAAGAGAUACAAUUGCCAAAUUUAUUUAUGCAAGCUUGUUUGAAUGGCUUGUACAACAAGUUAACAAGUCACUUGCACUGGGUGAAAACCAUACAGAGAAAUUCAUUAGUAUCCUUGCUUUUUAUGGGUUUCAGCCAUUCCAGGUAUUCAACAUGAUUCGUUGCGUGUGACAGACUUGAUAAUUCCUUCUCAUAAUAUGUAGAAAGUGAAAUGCAUAAAUGAAGGGGCCAUAUGGUGCAAAAGAGUGUAACCGCAACAACUCAAAAAUACGAGGAAGUUCCAUGGUUGGCCUAAGCGAAAAUGGAAAAGAAAGUGCCCUCUCUCUGCUGCCAAAUAGGCUAAAACUGGAUGAUGUCUUUGGGGCUCCAAAGUAACCUCAUUAAUGAUAACACAGCUUCAGAUUCAAUCUUCGUUGAGAUUCAAUGAAGCUUCAAAUUCAAUCUUCCUUGAAAUCCAGGUUCAGUUGAAACCCCACUACAUAGCUAGCUUAUUGUAUGGUAACUCUAAUUUGAGUGAUAGAAUAGAAUGAAAUAAUAUCAAACAAGAAGUUCUUGAUAUGAUUAAAAUAACCUUAUAAAAUAUGUUGAUUAUUGUUGGUGGUAAUAGGAACGUUAAAACUUAGAAGUUGCUCAAUGGAAAAUGUAGGGUAAUUUACAGGGUUGUUAAGCAUUAGCUGGAUUGACUUUUAUUUUUAUGUUGAGCAUUAGCUUAGGUGUAUGUGCAGGGAAUUCUUCACUCUGAUAUGUGGGGUGUGACACCCUCCAAUUUGUGGGACUGGGGUGUACUUCGGGAGAUGAUAUCAAAGAUAGGUGUAAGAAAUUCACUUCGUGUUGCCCCUAUGCCAACUGCAUUUAACAGUCAAAUUCUAGGCAACAAUUUGUGUUUUGUACCAUAUACUUUUAAUAUAUGACUAUGAUGCUCCUAUUAAUUUUCAUCACUGAACUGCUUCAGCCUUAUGUAAACUCACAACGGAUUAAAAGAGUAAAAAUAUCAAUCACAAAUGUAGAGUCCCACAACCUCAAUAUACUAACUUCAAUCUAAAUUGAAACCUCUUAAUCUAAAUCUUGUUGCAUUAAAAUGCUUACUUCAGUUAAUGAUCAGAAAUUUUGUUUGCUUACACUAUGAUGUUUUUCUUGUUCACCAAAUUGAGAGCUUUUAGCCUUAAGACUUAAGAGGUUUUAACAAGAGUUAGAUUAAGCGCUUUUUGCCUAGUUUAGGAUUGAGAUGAGCUUAUUAUUAUUCGUUUCCUUUGUGUGAUCCCUUGGUCGUAUCUCAAUCCCUUGUUCUGAUGCUGCGGAGCUGCAGCCGAAGUUUUAUUCACUGCGUAAUUUCCGUGUGCUCUGGUGACUAAGGGACGAGAUCCCGGGUCGGACGCGCUAAAUAACUCAUUCUCAGUCUUAGGCAAUAUUAACGGUCAUCAGAGUUUGGUUCCCUGUGUGCUGCGGGGUGUGUUAAGGACCAUCUGUUUUAGUGUUUUAUCUGCUAAGCUUCAAUUUGUAGUGUGGCUGGUUGUAACAGGCUGAAUGUUGUUUAUCUGUUCUGUCUGUAAUGGGGACUGGUAGAUGUUGGAAACCUGCAUAAUUAGCUAAUUGUAUGUGUAGGGGUUGUUUCGUUCUACCUGUAGUCUUUGUAUCUUUUAGGCCUCUCUUAUGCGUCAAUUUAAUAAUAUUCCCCUUUUUUGCUGUUGCAACAAAAAAAAGAGGUUUACUAAUCGUUAGUUGGUUCAGUGGUGAUUGGCGCUGAACUUGGUAGGGAGGACCGCGGUUCGAUCCUCCGCAACUACGAUCGGGAGGGGGCUGGAUCCACUCGAUGCCAGAACCGACCCCCGAACCAGAUUCAACUAGUGGUGGAAAUAAAAGAAGAAGAAGAGGUUUUCAAUGUUUUGAUUAUCUCUGUCAAUCUCUUCCUUGAAUUCUAUGUAAACAGUUGCUUUUGAAUCGUUAAUGAUGCGAAUUGAAUGAUUCAUUUGAUUUUUUGCUUCUUUAUACACAAACAUAAGUUAGUUUAACAAUGAUAAAGUUAUAUAUAGUUUAACAUUUAUAUGCAAUACAAUUAAAUGUGAAUGUGUGUUUGUGUGAAGCAAAUGAUGGAACAAUGCUAUUGGAACAGAUGGCUGUUGUUAACCAGAUUGCGAAGCUGAUGGUGGAGUUUAUUGAGGAGUCAGGACUAUGAAAUUGGUGAUGGUACUACUGGAGUUGUUGUGUUGGCUGGAUCUCUUACAGCUUGGAGGUUUUGUAUGACAAACUACUCACGAUAAUGACUGGAAAUCUACAUAUUGCAAAGACUUUUGUAGUGUCUUUAACCAUAUGCUUGACAAUAAAUACAUCGUUGCUUUUUGGAACACAGCAUAUUGAACAAUUCUUCAGUCAAUUUGUUACAACACAUGUAACCUUCUUAACUCUGGUCAUUUACACUAGCAGUUCUACACACAAAAAAAACUGCCACAUAUCUUAUCUAUGUUUUCAUUUGAAUGAAUCUUUCUAUCUAAAAUAUUAAAUAUCAUUGUCUGAGUUUCAUUUUCUUUUCUUUCUAAUGGGGCUCUGCAAAGAAUUUGCCUAGAUCAUGCACUUCAAGGCUGGUAAGUUUGUGAACUAUAGUUCUAUUUUCUUAUCAUUGCGAUUUCAUUUUUGGUGUUACUCGUACUUCAGACUUCUAAACUAUGUUGCAAUGAUUUUUCCUCAAUAUGUUGUAUCAGAAAUCACCACACCAAUUUUCUUUGUAAACGCGACAUAUGACUCAUGGCAGGUUAGAUUGUUUUGUUGCCCAAUAUAAAUUAGUAAUUGAUGUUUUUGGUGUUAGCUCUGAAUAUAUGAGAUAUACAACAAGUCUUUUCCCUGAUCCUCAAGGGCACUGACAAUCUGGCAUAGCUGCAAGCUAGAUAUAAACAACUGCUCUUCUAAUCAACUUGAUCUAAUGCAAGGUGAAUUUUUUCCUUCAUAGGUUGUCAAAUCCCAAGUCCUAACUGCAAGAUAUUAUAGAAUUUAUAUGACAUCACUUUUACCAUGACUUGAUUGUCAGGCUUUAGAACACAAUUUCUAAGAGCAAUGACUGUAGCUUCAAUUUCACGAGUAGAUUCUAAUUUAUGAAUGAAUUUGUGUAGUUUAUUUAUCACGAUGAUUUUGACUUUGUUCUUGCUCUUGCCACCAAAUCGCCUUCAUUGCAUGAACUGACUUGACGAUUCCCUCUCGUAAGGUAUUCGACAAGAUCGACAUGAUUCGUUGCGUGUGACUGACUUGAUGAUUCCCUCUCAUAAUACGUAGGUAUCUUCUUCCAACUUCUUGGGUUUUUUUUGGAUUCUAGUUUCUUUUCAAUUGUUUUCAAUGUUUCUCAUAUGGGUUUUCGAUUUCAAUUCUUAGCUAUUCUUCUUUCAUUUCUAAUUUCUUUCCUUUUAUUAUUAGGAUUUAUUGUUUUAGGUUAAUCUUUUGGUUGUUUAUUAUCUAGUGAUAAAUUAGUAGCUUCAGUUUCACGAGCAGAUUCUAAUUUAUUGAUGAUUUUGUGCUGUUUAUUUAACACAAUGAUUUUGACUUUGUUGUUGUUGGUGAUUUCUUUUGAAUGAUGAGAACUGGUUUUAAAAGCAAUUAUUAUACUAAAAUUGUUUUGGACAAGAAAUGGUUUUGUGAUUUUUUAUCAACUAGAUGGUUGUGUGUAACAUGUAGUCCACUUUACCUAGUAGAAACAGUCUUUGGUAGUUGUUUUAUGUUCUUGUUUUUUUUAGAGUUUCUUGUUUCUAAUUACUACACCCCACUUUAUAAAACUUUGGCUAAAUGGGUUCUUUGGUCUAUCAAUAUGGUCCUUAUAAAAUUAGAACACCAUUAUUUUUUGUUUGUUUUAUGAUUUGGUCAAUUAAUAUGGUCCUUUGUCACGAGUCAUAAUACACAUUUCCACUUAGAGAAAAGAUCAAAAUACUCUUCAAGAAUGAUGUAUGAGAAAUAUACUAUGUGCAUAUGUGUGCUAUCAACUAUUAUAUUUACGUUUUUAAUAAUUAUAAUAAUUUCACCAUAUCAUCUUUUGUAUGUUCCCUCUGCAUAUUAAUGUUCAAGGAUGUAUAUUGUUUUGACUUCUAAUUUAAAUUACUGUUUCAAUUGAAAAUAUGAUGUUAGCAUGCAAAUAAAACUAGUAGGUUAUUGUCUACUGUAGUUUUUCACUUACUGAUCAAUACAUUAUUCAUAGGAUACGGGACUAGUGUAGAAGUAUAUUUGAUUGACAAUUAAAUUUCAAUUUAUUUUAUAUUGUUGAAACAAGAUGAAUGUACUUGUUUCUCAUAUGUAAACAUAUUUGUUAUUGUUAUCGUUCUCUGCUGUUGGAUAUAUGAUAUUCUGUUUAACACAAUAGUAUUUGAUUUUCUAUUUGGUUCCAAUGUUUGAACUUUGUUGAUGAUGCUAAUUGAUAGGUAGGUACUAAUCUUAUCUAACUGCUCAACAUUGAUGCUUGAACAAAUUUCUCGAAUAUCUAACACCUAUUCUUUGUUUCCAUUUUCAUCUAUGACCGAGAAAAUUGGUAAAAAGGAAAUUGGUUUCUGUCUGACCAGCUGAAAUCAAAUUUGUCGCCUUUGUCAAAAGUUGACAAUGAGACCAUUAUGAUGUCAGAUGCAGGUCUUCUUUCUAAUACACUUGCACUGGAUGCAAUUCACGAUAUUGUUCCCUCCCAUGUUAUAAAUGUCACGGCCUUGUUUCUGUGCCUACUUUACUUGGUCAAUGAUCCAAAGGUAGUAUAUGGGGUGAGAUUGAAAUGCAGCAAGAUGUCUUAUGAGCCAAGCUUUGCAUAAGAUGUCUGGAAUUGCCUUUAAAGACGGUUGUCCAAAUAUGAUAUAAGGUGCUUGUAUUUAAUUAUAAGUUCCCUCUAUUUGUAUGCUUAAUCAUAUGAGUUCAAUGAUAUAUGGCAUUGUUAAAUCUCUUGCUUUAGUUUUAUGGUUUGAGUUUCUCGUCACUUUUGUAGAUUGGUGACUAUUAUGGAAAUCCAGGAUGUUAUCAAGCUAUUUGGUCUUUCUACUCCAAAAUAUAUUUGUCCCUAAUAUGAAGAACUAAUCUGCAUUUUCCCUACAUUUUAGGCCAAAAGAGAUGAAUAAAUUGGCCUUAAAGUUUGUACUACUAUUUCACUUUUUUCUUUACCUAUUCUAUAGUUUUGUGGCCAAUGACAACAAUACAAGCCUUAUAUAUAUAUAUAUAUAUAUAU